rnacentral:rRNA from 1 species
GACGUAGGGUGCAAGCGUUGUCCGGAUUUAUUGGGCGUAAAGAGCUCGUAGGCGGCUCGUCGCGUCGUCCGUGAAAUCCCUAGGCUUAACCUGGGGCUUGCGGUCGAUACGGGCGGGCUAGAGUUCGGUAGGGGAGACUGGAAUUCCUGGUGUAGCGGUGAAAUGCGCAGAUAUCAGGAGGAACACCGGUGGCGAAGGCGGGUCUCUGGGCCGAUACUGACGCUGAGGAGCGAAAGCGUGGGGAGCGAACAGG